CAGCGCACAAGGGAAACACAAGACACCCUCUGCCGCACCCUGAAGAGUCCCCCGCCCCGCUUCCUCUUUGUGUGGGGAGGGGUCCAUCCUCGCUUUGGGCGUGAGGGCGGGAUCUGGAGACAUUUUCUGGGUUGAGGCGAUCGACUCUGACGUCAACACUUGGAAGUCAGGGCAGACGGGAGCACAGCGCGUGGAGAGGGCCUCCGGGCCGCGACUCCCGGCCAUGCGCCUCUCCCGGGGGCGGCUCCGGCCCGACACUGCCGCGUUAGCCUUUCCGAACCUCGGCGUGUGGACAAAGGAGGGGGCGCCCCGGACUCGCGCCGGCGGCCGAGGACAGCCCCGACGGAAGCGGGGGCGGCUGGCGGCGGCGGACUCAGCAGAAAUCGUCACGGGUGGGGAAGGAGCCGGCCAGGCAGGCGCGCAGGCGCUGGACCGGAAACCGGAAGCCGGCGUGGCGGCUCGGGGCAGGCGGACUUCCGGCCCCGCCCCGCCGGCUUAAUUCGGGGCAGAACGUUCUCCCUGGUCCUGAGGCGUUCGCGUCGUCGUCUCCUUGGCAGCGGGGGGCUUCGCUGCCUGGCCGAGAGCCAGGGCCAGCCCUGUGUGGUACGCUGCCUUCUCGCGGUGCUGAGUGGUGGUGGCUGGGCACGUCUCCCUGUCAGCCCCACGGCCGGUCGUGUGUUGCCUUCAGCAUGACAGGUUGAGCGCUGUUACAAGGUGGCCUGUGUGUUAGGUGAUUCCGUCCACUGCAGACCAGGAGAGGGGCCAUCAGACGGUCACUCAGAGACGUCCACACUUGAUUAGUCGCCUCGGGGAACAGGCCAGGCAGCUGGCGUCUUCACUGGAGAAGUUGUUCACUCCAAAGCAACAUUUACCGUAAGCUGUCUGCGUCUAAGAAUGGUACUGGGAUGGAGGGCCCAGCCUGCUUCCUCCUUGGCCAACCAGUCAUUCUCAUAAAGUGAAUCAACUCUCAGGCCAUCGUGCUGAGUGAAAUAAACCAGGCCCGGAAAGACGCACAAGCGUGACCUCACUGUCAUGUGGAAAGCAAGAGGCUGAGCCCAGGGAAGCAGGGAGGGGAGGAGAGGCCACCAGGGUCUGCAAAGGGCCGAGGAGGCGAGGUCAGGUACAGAGACACCGUGAGGUGGGAGGAAUGGGUCCUGGGUUCCACAGGGUGACUUCAGCGGCCAGUAAUGCACACUGCAGAAUGGCCGGAAGAGGAUUUGAGCGUUCCCCUCACCAGGAAGUGGUACGUGUUUGAGGUGAUGGGUCUGCUAAUUACCCUGCUGUGAUCGUCACACCACAUACACCCUGAAACGCCUCCCCGUGCUCCGUAAAUGUGUAUAAGUUUUACAGUUUCUGAUGUAUGGAUAGAAACGCAGGGAGAGAGAAGAAUCUUCCAUCUACUGGUUCACGCAACAAAUGCACACAGCAGCUGGGUCUGGGCCAGGUAGAAGCCAGGAGCCUGGAACUCCAUCUAGGUCUCCCACUUGGGUGGCAGGGACCCAGACACUGGAGCCAUCGCCCGCUGCCUCCUGGGGUCCACGUGAGCAGGAAGCUGGAUCAGAAGUGGAGCAAGGGAGACCAGCAUUUGUGGUACAGUGGGUUCAGCCGCUGCCUAUGUUGCCAGCCUGCCAUGUUGCAGGGCUGGCCUGGUCCUGGGUGCUCUGCUUCUGAUCCAGCUCCCUCCUCAAGUGCCUAGGAAGGCAGAGGAAGGUCCAGAUACUUGGACCCCUGCCACCCGUGUGGGAGACCCGCGUGGAGUUCCUGGCUCCUGGCUCCUGCCUGAUGCAGCCCCUAGCAUCACAGCCAGUUGGGGAGUGAACCAGUGGAUAGAUCUCUUUCCCUCUCUCUCUCUCUGUUACUCUGCUUUUCAAAUAAAAUAAAUCUUGACAAAGAAACGAAAAGAAGUGGAGCUGGGUCUGAUACCCAAGUGCUUCAAUAUGGGAUGUGAGCAUUCAGACCUGUAACUUCAUUGCUGUACCAGAAGCCUGCCCCAGAAUGUCAGAUGUCAAUCAGAAUAAAAUGAAAACGUUUUCAGUGGUGAACCAAUUGUGACCGUGCCUAUGGGAGCUGGAAAUGCCCAUCAUUCAGUGUCCUGUCCACCCCCAGCUCUCUCCACCCUCCUGGGUCCUACCCUGCACGGGGGAAGCUGACCUCCUUGGACCGGUCCCUGAGUCCCCUCCCCACAGGAGGCCAGAGGGUGGAAGAAGGGUCUGUGUGUAUCUUCCCCUGUCCCUCCAUCACUCAGCCUGGCGUGGCAGUGGCUGCCUCCCGCUGUGACAUCAGCCUCGCAGACAGCCCCUGUCCCUGGUGCCAUGUCCCACUGGGCGCCCUUGGGGUAGUCAUGGCUGUUCUGGCUGGCAGUCCCAGGGUACUCUGCCCACACCUCGGCACAGUCACUCACCGGGUGGGGAGUGGGAGGGCAUUCUGCCUUCUGGCUAAGACACUGGCUAGGGGAACGUGUCCCCUAUUUGAGUCCCCACUCUGGCUCUCUACUCCAGCUUCCUGCUAAUGUGCACCCUGGAAGGUAGUGGUGAUGGCUUAAGAAGUCAGGUAGAGUUCACAGCUUCCAGCUUUCAACGCCCCCUCCAUCCACUGCGGGCGUUUUGUGGGGAGUGAGACAGUAGAUAGGGCUCAGUCUGCGCAGGCUCUCUAAGAAAUAGCAAACUGUUUUAAAAGUUCAUGGGGGCCAGUGCCGUGGCUCACUAGGCUAAUCCUCUGCCUGCGGUGCUGGCACCCCGGGUUCUAGUCCCUGUCGGGGUGCCUGAUUCUGUCCUGGUUGCUCCUCUUCCAGUCCAGCUCUCUGCUGUGGCCCAGGAGUGCAGUGGAGGAUGGCCCAAGUGCUUGGGCCCUGCACCCGCAUGGGAUAAGCACCUGGUUCCUGGCUUCAGAUCAGCGCGGUGCACCAGCCGCAGUGGCCAUUGUGGGGUGAACCAACGGCAAAGGAAGACCUUUCUCUCUGUCUCUCUCUCACUGUCCACUUCCCCACUUCAUGGGAAGUGCAUAUUACAGGAGCUGCACACGGAAGCCUCCUUUGAAGUCCCAGCUGAUGAUCCCACUGCCGUGACCGUCUGAAAAAUGGGAUGGUGAAGGGGGGCAGUGGGUUCCCGGGGCUGUGGAGAGGGAUGUGCAGGUGGAGCAGCAGAGGUUUUUAGGGCAGAAAAACUGUUCUGCCUGCUUCUAGCACCAUGGGUGACAGGCACACACACCUGCCCAGGUGCACAGCACCGUGGGUGACAGGCACACACACCUGCCCAGUUGCACAGCACCGUGGGUGACGGGCACACACACCUGCCCAGGUGCACAGCACCGUGGGUGACGAGCACACACACCUGCCCAGCUGACAGCACCGUGGGUGACGAGCACACACACCUGCCCAGCUGCACAGCACCGUGGGUGACGGGCACACCCACCUGCCCAGCUGACAGCACCGUGGGUGACGUGCACACCACCUGCCCAGGUGCACAGCACCGUGGGUGACGGGCACACACGCCUGCCCAGGUGCACGGCACCGUGGAUGACGGGCACACCCACCUGCCCAGGUGCACGGCACCGUGGGUGACGGGCGCACCCACCUGCCCGGCUGCACGGCACCGUGGGUGACGGGCGCACCCACCUGCCCGGCUGCACGGCACCGUGGGUGACGGGCGCACACACCUGCCCGGCUGCACGGCACCGUGGGUGACGGGCGCACCCCAGGUGCACAGCACACACAGCUGCAGGGUGAAGCUCAUGCUAACCGUGGCCGUGGUAAUCUUGGUGUUAGCCUAGCUUCCUCCCUCAUGGCAAUAGACCACUCUGGUUGGAAUAUUCUUCUUUGAAAAAUUUUUUUAAAAGAUUUAUUUUUUUAGUUGAAAGAUGUACAGAGCGAGCGGGAGAGGCCUUCCAUCCACUGGUUCAUGCCCAAGAUUGGUGCAAUGGCCAGGCCUGGGCCAGGGUUAAGCCAGGAGCCAUGAGCUUCAUCUGGGUCUCCCAUGUGGGUGCAGGGCGCCAACACGUGGGCCGAUUGAUGCUUUUUUUCCCAGGCCGUUAGCAGGGAGCUGGCGCAGCUGGGACUUGAAUGGGCGCCCAUAUGGGAUGCCAGUGUUGUGAGUGGCAGCUUUAUCUGCUGUGCUACAGCACUUGGUGCUGGGGGUGCUCUUGACCAGGGAGGUGGUUUGUGUGGGGGAGCAGAUAUGCAGAACUCUGUACUUUCCCCUCUGUUUUGCUGUGAGCCUCACCAUGAAAAACCAAGUCCGUUAAUUAGAAGUCCUCGCUGCACGACGACCACAGAGGGGGAGACAGGCCCGGCCCACAGAACAAGCUGGCCGGCGGCCGUGUCAGGUGGUGGGAAGUUUCCCUGUGCCACAGAGACCUGAGAAGGAGGUGGCUUCCACAGGAGCGGGGUGAAGGCCUGCCUGCACUUGUCCCUGCAGUGCUGCCGAUUACUGUGCGGCCCUGUUGUCCCUGGGGUGAGAUGAGCGGCUGCGUGAGUGGCUGCAUCCUGGUCAGGGCUGCAGGCAGGGCAGGGCUCGGUCGGAGAGGAAGCAGGUACCAGGAAAAUGAAGUCUCGCCUGAGACUUGCAGGCUGCCAUGACGGUGAGAGGUUUUAGGAAGUGUUGGAAGUUGCUCACGUCUUCUGGGUGCUCUGCCCCACGCUAAGAGUGCCAUUGAGGGAUUCCCCCAACUCACACUACAGGCCUGCCCCGCACUACGCACUCCUGCUUCGCAGGACAAGAGGCCGCUGGCGAGUGAGGGCCAGAUGUCCGAUCUGAGCUCACCACCGUGAGCACAUUUUGCUGUCCACCAUGGUGAAUUUUAAUGGAUCUUUGCUUUUCCAAGUAGAUGAUAGCAGAUGAGGGCAGGAAUGUGUCUAAUUCCUCUUUUUUUUUUUUUUUUUUUUUUUUUGACAGGCAGAGUGGACAGUGAGAGAGAGAGACAGAGAGAAAGGUCUUCCUUUGCCAUUGGUUCACCCUCCAAUGGCCGCCGCGGCCGGCGCGCUGCGGCCGGCGCACCGUGCUGAUCCCGUGGCAGGAGCCAAGAGCCAGGUGCUUUUCCUGGUCUCCCAUGGGGUGCAGGGCCCAAGCACCUGGGCCAUCCUCCACUGUACUCCCUGGCCACAGCAGAGAGCUGGCCUGGAAGAGGGGCAACCGGGACAGAAUCCGGCGCCCCAACCGGGACUAGAACCCGGUGUGCUGGCGCCGCUAGACGGAGGAUUAGCCUAGUGAGCCGCGGCGCCGGCUAAUUCCUCUUUUGAAAGUUCUUGGGAAUAAUCACCCAAAUCAAGAUGUUUAGAAUAUGUAGCUUCAAAGAGUCUCCCCUUGAGCUCCCUCUGAGUCAAAAUGUCCCAAAGAUAAGCACUGGUCUUGUUUCUGUCACCAUGGAGCAGUUUUUCCUCUUCUUGAAUGUCAUAUAAAUGGACUCAUACAAACAAAUGAACGAUUCCUUGCAUGCCUGGGCACACAACCAUCUGCAUUUAGCUAAUAUACUCAGUAGUGUUAAGUAAAUGUUCAAGGAAUGCUUAAAGGACUGUGGCUACUGAUGGCAUGCAAAGCUAUUCAUAAAUAUAAAUCCAUAUUUCAAUCUGUGAAUAUAUAAUAUAAAUAUGAAGAUGAUUAAAAAAACACCGUGGAUGGGCAGGCAUUGUGGUGCGCUGGUUGAGCCACCACUUGGGACAUGCCCCAUCAGAGUUUGGUUCAAGUACUGACUG